rnacentral:rRNA from 1 species
GACUCGGCAUCGAGAUACUAUUAAAGUCACAACGGUAAAAGAUGAGCAUGCGUCCCAUUAGCUAGUUGGUAAGGUAACGGCUUACCAAGGCUACGAUGGGUAGGGGUCCUGAGAGGGAGAUCCCCCACACUGGUACUGAGACACGGACCAGACUCCUACGGGAGGCAGCAGUGAGGAAUAUUGGACAAUGGGCGCAAGCCUGAUCCAGCCAUGCCGCGUGCAGGAUGACGGUCCUAUGGAUUGUAAACUGCUUUUGUACGAGAAGAAACACUCCUUCGUGUUGGAGCUUGACGGUAUCGUAAGAAUAAGGAUCGGCUAACUCCGUGCCAGCAGCCGCGGUAAUACGGAGGAUCCAAGCGUUAUCCGGAAUCAUUGGGUUUAAAGGGUCCGUAGGCGGUUUAGUAAGUCAGUGGUGAAAGCCCAUCGCUCAACGGUGGAACGGCCAUUGAUACUGCUAAACUUGAAUUAUUAGGAAGUAACUAGAAUAUGUAGUGUAGCGGUGAAAUGCUUAGAGAUUACAUGGAAAUACCAAUUGCGAACGCAGGUUACUACUAAUGGAUUGACGCUGAUGGACGAAAGC